ACACAACACGUCCAUCAGAACCGCCUCAGACUACAACGACAAACUCUCCACCUGCAUCAUCCUCAACAACACUGGAACAAGAUAAACAGCAAACACACAGCAGCCUCCCUCCAGGACGAAGAUGUGGAGAGGACGUGAUGACUGAAGGACAUCAGGACUGUGAGGGAAAGCUGGAGGAUCGGCCUGAACCUGACGUUGUCACUUUCUGUACUAAAUAACACAUGAACACAGCCGGAGCAGCACGAGUUCAGAUCAACGCUGGAGAGAAAACUGAAUAUAGCAGCAUUAUAACAAUCUAAUCCAAAAUAAAUAUAGACACGUUCUCAGAUAUUAUAGAAUAAUGCUGAAAACAUAUAUUAAAUACACACCAUGGCCUAGCACAAGACUCACUCUGCUGGAUUUAUUUUUAUAAGUAUGUGAAAUUUUGCUAUUUAAAAAAUCAGAUUCAGACAUAUACGCGCGCGUGUGUGUGUGUGUGUGUGUGUGUGUGUGUGUGUGUGUGUGUGUGUGUGUGUGUGUGUGUGUGUGUGUGUGUGUGUGUGUGUGUGUGUGUGUGUGUGGUGGUUCCAGAUAAUUGUGUUCUCUUCACCUUCAUUUAUAUUAGCUAAGGGUAUUGUUCUGCAUUCACUUUGUCUAUUAAUCAUUAAAAACUGCUGAUGGAUAAUCUUGCAAAUUAUAUUUUGAAUGUACGUGUUAUUUUAUAUCUUAUGUGUACCAUUCUUACGUAUAUGAGAUUAAGAAAUAAAUGCUCUAGGAGGCUUUUGCAUAAAUAGACUGCUAUAGAGGUUCUUGUUUGUGACUUUUUUAAAACUUUGAGUAAGAAUAAAAAAGGAGGAUUGUUGAAUCUGCCUGAA